rnacentral:piRNA from 1 species
UUGGAAAACCUUGUUCAGGACCCUAUGUGU